UUGAUAGACAUAUGAAUCUUGUUGAGAAAAUAUGUGAUAUGAUCCUUCUAUGCAAUGUAGAAAACUUACCACAUUAUAUACAAAAUUUUAUACAAGCUAUACUUGCACAGUAUCCUUGUUUUCCAACAUAUUCAGCUGUUUCAAUAUUAAUAUUACAAACAAAGUUGUCAAAAAUCUUUGUUGGUACUGCUGAUUAUCAGAAUUCAUUAAUAAAUUUAUCUCUUUCUAUCAUAUUUUAUUCGAUUGCAGCUAUUAAUUCAGAACAUUAUAGUGGAACUGAAGAUGGAUCAGUUUUGAGAAUAGUUUGUCAGUUUUUGAAAACAUUAAAUUUUUCAUCUAAAGUAUGUAAUAUUAUCUGGAAUUCUGUAAAAGUAAUGCACAUUCAACAAACAGCAGUUUUAGGAUCAGUGUUUUCAUUAUUAUUAAAAUGCAAUUUGUUUGGAAUGGAAGAAAUUGUUGUUGUCGAUAAUAUUUUAUUGGAGUUAAAGAUGAAAUUUCCCCAAAUUAUUAAUAAAAAGUGGUGGAUGGAAUUGAAUUAUUACGUACAGUUAUUUAAAGGUCCUACAGCCAUGCUGGUAAAGUCAUAAUAAUAGAGUUGGAUGUAAAAUAUUUUAAUAUCAAAUUGAAUUGUAUUUUUAUGACAAAUUAAAAGUCAAUAAAUGCA
rnacentral:misc_RNA from 1 species